GACGAACGCUGGCGGCGUGCUUAACACAUGCAAGUCGAGCGGUAAGGCCCUUUCGGGGGUACACGAGCGGCGAACGGGUGAGUAACACGUGGGUGACCUGCCCUCAGCUCUGGGAUAAGCCUGGGAAACUGGGUCUAAUACCGGAUAUGACUCCAUGACGCAUGUUGUGGGGUGGAAAGCCUUGUGCGGCUGAGGAUGGGCCCGCGGCCUAUCAGCUUGUGUGGGU
rnacentral:rRNA from 1 species